rnacentral:rRNA from 1 species
GAGACCUCAGGUCAGGCGGGACUACCCGUUGAGUUAAGCAUAUCAAUAAGCGGAGGGAAAG